CCAAAACCCUUUACACACAACCCUCGACGGUCCCUCGCAACUCCCCUUCCCUUCGGCAAAAUCGCUCCCGCAAAACCCUCGGCGCACACUACCGAUAGACGUUUCCUCCGGUACCCGUUUCCUCCCUCACGCAAAAUCCCUUUCCUUUCGAUUCGAACGUCGGCCGUCUCCUCCCUCACGCAAAAUCAGUGCUCCCAAUAUUCUAUUUCACCGGCAAAAUCCAAAUCUCAUAAUCCAUUACUAGAAGAGAUGCCUUCCAAAAACAUCCAUAUUCUGUUCCACCGCAGAUUACAAUCUGACGAACCCCGCAAGAUACAGCGGCUGGGAUGAUAAUGGACUUGAUCAAAACAAGAAACAUCACCUGUUAGAUUUGAAUACACUGAAAGGUCACAGAGAUUCUGCCACUGGAUUAUGCUUCACUUCAAAUGGAAGUAAUCUGACGAGUGGUAACUUGGUUAAUCCUACUAUAUCAAACUUUUGUUCACUUGAUAUUACCUUUUGUUGUUGUAGCUUAUAUGCUUUGACGAAAGGGAAAUAUAUGUAACUAAGGUCAUAAUGUGAAUAUUGCCUCUGCCUACAUUUUAUUUGCGCUCAUGGCUAAAGAAUUUUCAAUUGAAACUCUCUUUGUAAAAUCAUUUUCCAAGCAAUAAUUUUAUGUCUUGCUGGUACAUGCUUGUAUCUCUGUUUGCUUCUUCUUAUCUUCUAAGCUACAAAUUUAUUGUAAAUGAAGUUUGAGUUGUGUGUUAUUGCUUCGUUUUUGGUUUAUGAAGAUUUUUGGUAGUUUAAAAUAAAGAUGUUUUGUGUUGGGGAUUAUUCAGGCUGCUUGUAUGUUUCUCUAAGUACAUAGGUUAAGGGUGCUUAUUGAGAUUAACUAGAGCUGUCAAUAAAUUUAAGCAUAUGCAGAAAAAUAGAAACUUGAAUUGUAGGCCUUCAAUUAGAACAUAUAAUCUACUUUUUACUGUCAAUAUAUUUAAGCAUAUGCAGAAAAAUAUAAUCUACUUUUAUCUGAAGCACUAUGACCAAGUACUUUCACAUUAUUGUCGAUGUUUUCUUAUAUGAUAGAGACCUCUUUGUGGGAGUUGAAUAACAAGAUAUCUUCUCCAAAAGAAGCUUGUAAUGCCUUAUGUCUUUUCUUAUCAAGUUCAAGGUCUUGUGCAAUUAUAGAAGUGUAGAAACAUUCUCAAUAAUUCAGCAAUCACUUUCACUUGGAUGCUUUCCAAGAGUAAAAGUGGUUUAUAUAUCAGAUAAGUACGAAGGGCAAGUUUAUGUUCUAGAGAUAAAUAUGGAAUAGCUGUGGUUUUUGUGAUGACACUCACAUCCUCUUUCCUAGUACUCAUAAUGGUAAUGAUAUGGAAAACUCACAUCCUUUUCAUAAUCACUUACAUUCUCACUAUUGGUACUGUGGAAUUGAUAUAUUUGAGUUUUGUCCUUUACAAGUUUGACCAAGGAGGCUAGCUCCCUUUAGCUUUUGCUACUGCAUUGAUGACAAUCAUGUAUGACUUGUGAACUUUAGAAGUUAUUUAUAGUCACUUUCAAUUCUGCUUUAGUUUCCCUUUUUAACAUCACAACUUAGUAUUAUUUUUGUACUUCCCUUGAUUUAAAUGUUAUUUCUAUAAUUUGUAAUUACGACGUUAUUUCUAUAGUUUGUAAUUAUGGGCCUUAUUUCUAUAGUUUGUAAUUAUGGGCCUUAUUUCUAUAGUUUGUAAUUAUGGGCCUAACCCAAUAUUAUUGAUUUCUUUUUUUUCCUCUUAAAAGAAGAAUCCAAUAUUUAAAAUUCAUUUAUAAGUGAUAUCCGACAGAGAAUGGCUGGGGGUAUGAAUAUUAAAAAAUUAACUUGUGUGUUUUUGUGGUUGUAUAAUGUUUAUAUGUGUAGAUUACCUGAAGAUGGAUUACAUUAACUUGCAACUUUUCAGACCAAUCUAUGACGGACAAAGCAUGGAGUUAAGUUUUGCCAGAAUCCAUUCGAGCAGCGAAGCCAUAUUUGUGGCAAUUCAUUGAUGUAUAGACAUUUUUGUAGGUUUGGUAGGAAAUUUUUUGGUUUAAAUGUAGUUAUUUAAAUAGUUUGUUCAUAACAAACCAUAUAUGUACUAACACUUAAAGCGAUAUUAUAAAGUGUAUAUUUCUUUA